rnacentral:other from 1 species
GUUCUACUGCGACGUUGGUGCCUGCCAAUAGAGUUUUAUGAUCUAUGUUUUUUGAAUAAGGGAACCUAAAGCAUCCUGGUGGCAGUAGACCGGGCUUGUACCCGGAAACUUUAAACCAGUGAUUAAGGUGCCCACCUGGAUUUUUUUCCAGGUCAAAAACUGAGGUAAGACGGCGUUGCGGGGAACUC